rnacentral:rRNA from 1 species
GACGGAGGGGGCAAGCGUUGUUCGGAAUUAUUGGGCGUAAAGGGCUCGUAGGCGGACCGGUGUGUCUGGCGUGAAAUCUCCACUGCUUAACAGGGAGGGGCCGCUGGAAACUGCCGAUCUUGAGUAUGGUAGAGGACCAUGGAAUUUCGGGUGUAGCGGUGGAAUGCGUAGAUAUCCGAAAGAACACCGGUGGCGAAGGCGGUGGUCUGGACCAAAACUGACGCUGAGGAGCGAAAGCGUGGGGAGCAAACAGG